ACCGAUUAAUGAUACCCACACGGCUCUUUCGAUAAUAUUGAUGGCCCCCUCGUGUACCUUUGCAAGAAUAUCUCGGGGAUACGAGAGGGAAAAACGAGAGGGGGAGAGAGAAGUAUGGGACUUUUAUGUAAUGGA